UAAUACGGAAGGUCCGGGCGUUAUCCGGAUUCAUUGGGUUUAAAGGGAGCGCAGGCGGGCUGUCAAGCCAGCCGUCAAAUGGCCCGGCUCAACCGGGUCUUGCGGUUGGAACUGGCGGUCUUGGGUGCACAAGAGGGAGGCGGAAUUCGUGGUGUAGCGGUGAAAUGCAUAGAUAUCACGAAGAACCCCGAUUGCGAAGGCAGCCUCCUGGGGUGUUACCGACGCUCAUGCUCGAAGGUGCGGGUAUCAAACAGGAUUAGAUACCCUGGUAGUCCGCACAGUAAACGAUGGACACUCGGCCUGUGGCCUAUAUGGUUGCGGGUCUCUAGCGAAAGCGUUAAGUGUCCCACCUGGGGAGUACGCCGGCAACGGUGAAACUCAAAGGAAUUGACGGGGGCCCGCACAAGCGGAGGAACAUGUGGUUUAAUUCGAUGAUACGCGAGGAAACUUACCGGGCUUGAACUGCAGCGGAAGGAUACAGAGAUGUUGACGCCCUUCGGGGCCGCUGUGGAGGUGCUGCAUGGUUGUCGUCAGCUCGUGCCGUGAGGUGUCGGCUUAAGUGCCAUAACGAGCGCAACCUUUUCAUUAGUUGCCAUCAGGUAAUGCUGGGCACUCUGGUGAUACUGCACGUA
rnacentral:rRNA from 1 species